GUGACAAUGUCCAAAAAAAUCUUGAACUUCAAGGUUUUUUACAAUUCUAUCUGAAUUUUUUUUUAUAACAAAAAUAUCUUGAACAUUUUAAUUUGUUUAUAAUUGCACACUGACAUCUAUUCCACCGUUAAUUCUAAUGGGCUUUGACACUUCAGCAUAGGAAAUAUCCAACAAAAUCUCAAAAUGUGCAUUUUUUUAAUUAUUGUACCCCAAACUUUUUUUUUUUAACAUAUAUACCUUGAACUUUGAAUUUCACU
rnacentral:misc_RNA from 1 species